UCAGGGUUCGAUUCCGGAGAGGGAGCCCGAGAAAACGGCUACCACUUCCAAGGAAGGCAGCAGGCGCGCAACUUACCCUAAUCUCGAUUCGAGGAGGUAGUGACAAGAAAUACCGAUGCGGGACCCUACGGGUGCCGCGUUCGGAAUGAGUACGAUUCGAACCACCUAACGAGGAACGAUCGGAGGGCAAGUCUGGUGCCAGCAGCCGCGGUAAAUUCCAGCUCCAAUAGCGUACGUUAAAGUUGCUGCAGUUAAAAAAGCUCGUAGUUGAACGUUCGGGUUCCGCGGGACGGGGCCGCCCCGCGAGGGACGGCGCCGCCCCGGGGCUCGUGAUAUCUUAUCUCGCCGCCCGUCGCGAGGCGGACGGAGGGAUGGAUGAGGUUACCUGGAAAAAAUCGGGGC
rnacentral:rRNA from 1 species